UGAGGAAUAUUGGUCAAUGGGCGGGGAGCCUGAACCAGCCAAGUCGCGUGAGGGAAGACGGUCCUAUGGAUUGUAAACCUCUUUUGUCGGGGAGCAAAGAGGCCACGUGUGGU
rnacentral:rRNA from 1 species